GCCAAUGUUCUGUAGUGAUUUGCAUGUUGGACUAAAACUCUGGAGAUCAGGGUUCGAAUCCCUGGUCUGCCA